UGGGGGAUAACGCAUCGAAAGAUGUGCUAAUACCGCAUAAUCUCUGAGGAGAAAAGCAGGGGAUCGCAAGACCUUGCGCUUUUGGAGCGGCCGAUGUCUGAUUAGCUAGUUGGUGGGGUAAUGGCCUACCAAGGCUUCGAUCAGUAGCUGGUCUGAGAGGACGGCCAGCCACACUGGGACUGAGACACGGCCCAGACUCCUACGGGAGGCAGCAGUGGGGAAUUUUGGACAAUGGGCGCAAGCCUGAUCCAGCCAUGCCGCGUGAGUGAAGAAGGCCUUCGGGUUGUAAAGCUCUUUCAGCCGAGAAGAAAAGGUUGCGACUAAUAAUCGCAAUUCAUGACGGUACCGGCAGAAGAAGCACCGGCUAACUACGUGCCAGCAGCCGCGGUAAUACGUAGGGUGCGAGCGUUAAUCGGAAUUACUGGGCGUAAAGGGUGCGCAGGCGGUUUUGUAAGUCAGAUGUGAAAUCCCCGGGCUUAACCUGGGAACUGCGUUUGAAACUACAAGACUAGAGUGUAGCAGAGGGGGGUGGAAUUCCAUGUGUAGCAGUGAAAUGCGUAGAGAUAUGGAAGAACACCGAUGGCGAAGGCAGCCCCCUGGGUUAACACUGACGCUCAAGCACGAAAGCGUGGGGAGCAAACAGGAUUAGAUACCCUGGUAGUCCACGCCCUAAACGAUGUCAACUAGUUGUCGGGCCUUAAUAGGCUUGGUAACGUAGCUUACGCGUGAAGUUGACCGCCUGGGGAGUACGGUCGCAAGAUUAAAACUCAAAGGAAUUGACGGGGACCCGCACAAGCGGUGGAUUAUGUGGAUUAAUUCGAUGCAACGCGAAAAACCUUACCUACCCUUGACAUGUACCGAAACUCGCAGAGAAGCGAGUGUGCCCAUAAAGGAACGGUAACACAAGAGCUGCAUGGCUGUCGUCAGCUCGUGUCCUGAGAUGUUGGGUUUAGUCCCGCAACAAGCGCGACCCUUGUCAUUAAUUGCCAUUAUUUACUUGGGGACUUUAAUGAGACUGCCGGUGACAAACCGCAAGAAGGUGGGGAUGACGUCAAGUCCUCAUGGCCCUUAUGGGUAGGGCUUCACACGUAAUACA
rnacentral:rRNA from 1 species